UACGUAUGUCGCAAGCGUUAUCCGGAUUUAUUGGGCGUAAAGCGCGUCUAGGCGGUUUGGUAAGUCUGAUGUGAAAAUGCGGGGCUCAACUCUGUAUUGCGUUGGAAACUGCCAAACUAGAGUACUGGAGAGGUGGGCGGAACUACAAGUGUAGAGGUGAAAUUCGUAGAUAUUUGUAGGAAUGCCGAUGGGGAAGCCAGCCCACUGGACAGAUACUGACGCUAAAGCGCGAAAGCGUGGGUAGCAAACAGG
rnacentral:rRNA from 1 species